CAUUAUGUACAUUCCUGCAAAAUUAAUGCACCUAAUCCCAUCCUAAAUACACAAUUAAGAACACUUGGGAUAUAUUAGUACUGGGAUGGGUGACCUCUUGGGAAGUCCUAUUGUUUUACAUGU
rfam:Picea glauca, whole genome shotgun sequence.